rnacentral:lncRNA from 1 species
AUGAUUCGAACUCGGCGAAACCCACCCAUUUGUCCUCAGCGAAAUCCAUCUCUACAAAACCCAAGUUCCAUCAUCGACCACCAGGUUAUGCAAGGAUUGAUUAUGGGAAUAUUGUUGGUGGUGGAUCGUCAUCAUCAGCUGGGUUUGUAAAAUAUGCUAGUUCUGUCUACUACUUUAUUUUUUGUAUUGUCUCCAAUAACUGGUUAUAUAUAAAAAGUUAGAGAGUUGAAAAUUAAAACGGUAUUUUCUAUGAGGCCUAUUUUUUCAUUUUUAUGGUUGUAAAAUAUGCUAAUCUAUUUUAUUGUACAAAAAGACUGUAGCAUACCUUGCUUUGAUUUAGUUUUGUUCAUAGAAUAAUGUAUAUAAAAUGUUGCUUAUGUGAUAUUAAUGCUUGAUGCCUGUUCACAAGAGAGAAGAUCAAAUGUUGUGAACAACAGAAGAGACAUGCGUGGGGAGGAAACCAACAGAGGAAUCUCAUGCCUCCUUAG